rnacentral:rRNA from 1 species
GGUUAAGCGACUAAGCGUACACGGUGGAUGCCCUGGCAGUCAGAGGCGAUGAAGGACGUGCUAAUCUGCGAAAAGCGUCGGUAAGGUGAUAUGAACCGUUAUAACCGGCGAUGUCCGAAUGGGGAAACCCAGUGCAAUUCGUUGCACUAUCGUUAACUGAAUACAUAGGUUAACGAGGCGAACCGGGGGAACUGAAACAUCUAAGUACCCCGAGGAAAAGAAAUCAACCGAGAUUCCCCCAGUAGCGGCGAGCGAACGGGGAGCAGCCCAGAGUCUGAAUCAGCUUGUGUGUUAGUGGAACGGUCUGGAAAGUCCGACGGUACAGGGUGAUAGUCCCGUACACCAAAAUGCACAGGUUGUGAACUCGAAGAGUAGGGCGGGACACGUGGUAUCCUGUCUGAAUAUGGGGGGACCAUCCUCCAAGGCUAAAUACUCCUGACUGACCGAUAGUGAACCAGUACCGUGAGGGAAAGGCGAAAAGAACCCCGGCGAGGGGAGUGAAAAAGAACCUGAAACCGUGUACGUACAAGCAGUGGGAGCACCUUCGGGUGUGACUGCGUACCUUUUGUAUAAUGGGUCAGCGACUUAUAUUCUGUAGCAAGGUUAACCGUAUAGGGGAGCCGCAGGGAAACCGAGUCUUAACUGGGCGUUAAGUUGCAGGGUAUAGACCCGAAACCCGGUGAUCUAGCCAUGGGCAGGUUGAAGGUUGGGUAACACUAACUGGAGGACCGAACCGACUAAUGUUGAAAAAUUAGCGGAUGACUUGUGGCUGGGGGUGAAAGGCCAAUCAAACCGGGAGAUAGCUGGUUCUCCCCGAAAGCUAUUUAGGUAGCGCCUCGUGAACUCAUCUUCGGGGGUAGAGCACUGUUUCGGCUAGGGGGUCAUCCCGACUUACCAACCCGAUGCAAACUACGAAUACCGAAGAAUGUUAUCACGGGAGACACACGGCGGGUGCUAACGUCCGUCGUGAAGAGGGAAACAACCCAGACCGCCAGCUAAGGUCCCAAAGUCAUGGUUAAGUGGGAAACGAUGUGGGAAGGCACAGACAGCCAGGAUGUUGGCUUAGAAGCAGCCAUCAUUUAAAGAAAGCGUAAUAGCUCACUGGUCGAGUCGGCCUGCGCGGAAGAUGUAACGGGGCUAAACCAUGCACCGAAGCUGCGGCAGCGACACUAUGUGUUGUUGGGUAGGGGAGCGUUCUGUAAGCCUGCGAAGGUGACCUGUGAGGGUUGCUGGAGGUAUCAGAAGUGCGAAUGCUGACAUAAGUAACGAUAAAGCGGGUGAAAAGCCCGCUCGCCGGAAGACCAAGGGUUCCUGUCCAACGUUAAUCGGGGCAGGGUGAGUCGACCCCUAAGGCGAGGCCGAAAGGCGUAGUCGAUGGGAAACAGGUUAAUAUUCCUGUACUUGGUGUUACUGCGAAGGGGGGACGGAGAAGGCUAUGUUAGCCGGGCGACGGUUGUCCCGGUUUAAGCAUGUAGGCUGGUUAUCCAGGCAAAUCCGGAUAAUCAAGGCUGAGGUGUGAUGACGAGGCACUACGGUGCUGAAGUAACAAAUGCCCUGCUUCCAGGAAAAGCCUCUAAGCAUCAGGUAACAUCAAAUCGUACCCCAAACCGACACAGGUGGUCAGGUAGAGAAUACCAAGGCGCUUGAGAGAACUCGGGUGAAGGAACUAGGCAAAAUGGUGCCGUAACUUCGGGAGAAGGCACGCUGGUGUGUAGGUGAAGUCCCUGCGGAUGGAGCUGAGACCAGUCGAAGAUACCAGCUGGCUGCAACUGUUUAUUAAAAACACAGCACUGUGCAAACACGAAAGUGGACGUAUACGGUGUGACGCCUGCCCGGUGCCGGAAGGUUAAUUGAUGGGGUUAUCCGUAAGGAGAAGCUCUUGAUCGAAGCCCCGGUAAACGGCGGCCGUAACUAUAACGGUCCUAAGGUAGCGAAAUUCCUUGUCGGGUAAGUUCCGACCUGCACGAAUGGCGUAAUGAUGGCCAGGCUGUCUCCACCCGAGACUCAGUGAAAUUGAACUCGCUGUGAAGAUGCAGUGUACCCGCGGCAAGACGGAAAGACCCCGUGAACCUUUACUAUAGCUUGACACUGAACAUUGAGCCUUGAUGUGUAGGAUAGGUGGGAGGCUUUGAAGCGUGGACGCCAGUCUGCGUGGAGCCAACCUUGAAAUACCACCCUUUAAUGUUUGAUGUUCUAACGUUGGCCCCUUACCGGGGUUGCGGACAGUGUCUGGUGGGUAGUUUGACUGGGGCGGUCUCCUCCCAAAGCGUAACGGAGGAGCACGAAGGUUAGCUAAUCCUGGUCGGACAUCAGGAGGUUAGUGCAAUGGCAUAAGCUAGCUUGACUGCGAGCGUGACGGCGCGAGCAGGUGCGAAAGCAGGUCAUAGUGAUCCGGUGGUUCUGAAUGGAAGGGCCAUCGCUCAACGGAUAAAAGGUACUCCGGGGAUAACAGGCUGAUACCGCCCAAGAGUUCAUAUCGACGGCGGUGUUUGGCACCUCGAUGUCGGCUCAUCACAUCCUGGGGCUGAAGUAGGUCCCAAGGGUAUGGCUGUUCGCCAUUUAAAGUGGUACGCGAGCUGGGUUUAGAACGUCGUGAGACAGUUCGGUCCCUAUCUGCCGUGGGCGCUGGAGAAUUGAGGGGGGCUGCUCCUAGUACGAGAGGACCGGAGUGGACGCAUCACUGGUGUUCGGGUUGUCAUGCCAAUGGCACUGCCCGGUAGCUAAAUGCGGAAGAGAUAAGUGCUGAAAGCAUCUAAGCACGAAACUUGCCCCGAGAUGAGUUCUCCCUGAGACUUUAAGUCUCCUGAAGGAACGUUGAAGACGACGACGUUGAUAGGCCGGGUGUGUAAGCGCAGCGAUGCGUUGAGCUAACCGGUACUAAUGAACCGUGAGGCUUAACCUU